rnacentral:SRP_RNA from 1 species
GCCGGGCGUAGUGGCGCACGCCUGUAAUCCAGCUACUUGGAGGCUGGGGUCUCUGAACGGCUUGAGGGUGGGAUUCCUGGGGGCGGUUGUCCUAUGUAGAUCGGGUGUCCGCGCUAAGUUUGGCGUCAAUAUGGGGAACACGGAGGAAUUUGAGUUCUCCAGGUUGGUUAAAGAGGAGCGAACCGGCCCAGGGUGGAAACACAGCAGGCAAAAGCUCCCGCGUCAAACAGAGUCGAG